rnacentral:piRNA from 1 species
UACUCAUUGAAACGUACGGGCCUCCUAA